rnacentral:rRNA from 1 species
AGUGAACGCUGGCGGCAGGCCUAACACAUGCAAGUCGAGCGGAAGCACGGUAAGAGCUCGUUCUUACUGGUGGCGACUGGCGGGUGGGUGAGACGUACAUAGCCAUCUACUUUUUCGUGGGGGAUAACGUGGGGACACAUACGAUAAUAGCGCAUACGUUGUACGGGUGAAAGCAGGGGAUCUUAGGACCUUGGGUGAUUCUAUGAGACGAUGUCGGGUUAGCUAGUUGGCUGGGUAAAGGCCCACCAAGGCGACGAUACGUAGCUGGUCUGAGAGGAUGAUCAGCCACACUGGAACUGAGACACGGUCCAGACUCCUACGGGAGGCAGCAGUGGGGAAUAUUGGACAAUGGGCGCAAGCCUGAUCCAGCCAUGCCGCGUGUGUGAAGAAGGUCUUCGGAUUGUAAAGCCCUGUUAUUAGGGAAGAAGAGCAGUAGGUUAAUACCUCGCUGUUUUGACGGUACCCAAAGAAUAAGCACCGGCUAACUUCGUG